CCUACGGGUGGCUGCAGUCGAGAAUCAUUCACAAUGGGGGAAACCCUGAUGGUGCGACGCCGCGUGGGGGAAUGAAGUUCUUCGGAUUGUAAACCCCUGUCAUGUGGGAGCAAAUUAAAAAGAUAGUACCACAAGAGGAAGAGACGGCUAACUCUGUGCCAGCAGCCGCGGUAAUACAGAGGUCUCAAGCGUUGUUCGGAAUCACUGGGCGUAAAGCGUGCGUAGGCUGUUGCGUAAGUCGUGUGUGAAAGGCACGGGCUCAACCCGCGGACGGCACAUGAUACUGCGAGACUAGAGUAAGGGAGGGGGAACCGGAAUUCUCGGUGUAGCAGUGAAAUGCGUAGAUAUCGAGAGGAACACUCGUGGCGAAGGCGGGUUCCUGGACAUUAACUGACGCUGAGGCACGAAGGCCAGGGGAGCGAAAGGGAUUAGAUACCCCUGUAGUC
rnacentral:rRNA from 1 species